CUGCUCUGCAUGCACUGACCAGAAAAGAUCUGUUUUCCAGAGGCUUGCAAUAUCAUCCCUGAUUUUUUUCCAUGCCCUGUAAGCUCUGAAAAUGCAAAGGAUACACAGGAAAGCUGCCAUGGUUCACUUGUGUGGGAUGAAAUGGCAGAGGAAAAGGAUUUUCUGAGGAGGGGACACCAAGGAUUCAGGGAAGGCUUCUCCAAGCCAGCAUCCAAGAGGCAGAUUCCAAAAUUGAGCAGUUGCAUCUCCUUGACCCCCAGGUUGUUCUGCUCCAUUGGUCUGGGAUGGUUUGAUCUUGAAGUUCCUUCCUCAGCCAGAUGCUGCUUUUUAAAGAUUUCCAUUUGCAGCUCAAAAAUAUAGGAAUAUUGAAGUGAGGGCUGGGAAGCAAAAUCAGUUCCCAAAAGUCAACAAAAAUG